rnacentral:rRNA from 1 species
GAGUUUGAUCUUGGCUCAGAGCGAACGCUGGCGGCAUGCUUAACACAUGCAAGUCGCACGGUCAGCAAUGGCAGUGGCGGACGGGGUGAGUAACACGUAGGAAUCUAUCUCUGGGUGGGGGACAACAGUGGGAAACUACUGCUAAUACCGCAUGAUACCUGAGGGUCAAAGGCGUAAGUCGCCUGGAGAGGAGCCUGCGUCUGAUUAGCUUGUUGGUGGGGUAAAGGCCUACCAAGGCUACGAUCAGUAGCUGGUCUGAGAGGAUGAUCAGCCACAUUGGGACUGAGACACGGCCCAAACUCCUACGGGAGGCAGCAGUGGGGAAUAUUGGACAAUGGGCGAAAGCCUGAUCCAGCAAUGCCGCGUGUGUGAAGAAGGUCUUCGGAUUGUAAAGCACUUUUGGCAGGGACGAUGAUGACGGUACCUGCAGAAUAAGCCCCGGCUAACUUCGUGCCAGCAGCCGCCGCUGUAAG